rnacentral:lncRNA from 1 species
CUGCACUUGUGGUUCAAAUACUGCUGAAUUAUUAGACCAAGUUAAUGCCCAAAUCGGGUUAAUGCCCAAAGCAGGGCUGUGUUUUGGAGGAUGUUUCCGCCUGCUGUGCUGCACCAAGCACACAGCGAUCACAGCACACGUUUAAUCCUAAUUCUGGUUUGUAUCUAGGGUUUCACUGGAGAUGUGGAGAUGGAAGUGAGGUCUGGUCUGGACUGCUGGAGCCCCCAGUUUUGAUUCCACCUUUUCUGCAAUGCUGCUGGAAUUUUCUGUGAAGGCUCCAUCCCACCAGAUCCCAGCAUCUGACUGUCGAAAGUGGAGGCAACAUUGAGCUCCCCCAUGAAGUGUGGAGUCCUUUCAUGACAGUCACUAGAGAUGAAACAUUUUGUGAGUUGAAUCCUAUCAAUUCAGUGGCUGAGACAUUCCUAAUAACUUCGCAAUCGGAUGUGUUACCAGCACAGAACAGCUUCAAGUCAGCAGCACGAUCUUCAGUCGCCUGCAAGGAGCCUUGUGUAUCACAGGGCUGGAUCAGGAAACCUGUGAUUGCUCACAAUCACAUUAACAGAGAAGACAGGAUGUCAGGGAAUCACUCGGCGAGUCUCAGAGCUACCAUUCCUGUCACCUGUGAAACCAGUCAAAUUCUCUGGAUGAUGGAAUGGUUUAAUAUCACAGGAUCCAGUGUGUGUGGCAGGGCUGCUCAAGACAUUAACACAGGAAGCAAUAUUGUUCAAUGUCGACUUAACUGCCUGGCAGGUUACACAGUAAUGUGGAAGGAUGGGAGCCCGCUUGGGCCCAGGACUCACAGCCCUGCAAACAUUUCUCCUUGUGGGAGGACUCUUUUUUUCUGUAGCUCAGUGGUAAAAGCUUGUAUGAGCAUGCAGUCAAAAUGGCCUUCACCCAGCCUGGGUCAGCUUGGGCAGAGGUGCUGGGCCCAGAACACCUGUCCACAGGAGGCUUCAGCAUCUGCCACUGCUCAGCCCUUCAGCACCUCCAAAAUAGGAACUUGGCAAACAAAGCCAACAGAGUGCAUUGCUAAGCAGAACAUUCUGCCGAGUCCCAACACCAGGACUGCGUGUUACAGGGCACUUGCCAAUUCCUGA